rnacentral:rRNA from 1 species
CCUACGGGUGGCAGCAGUAGGGAAUUUUCGUCAAUGGGGGGAACCCUGAACGAGCAAUGCCGCGUGAGUGAAGAAGGCCUUCGGAUCGUAAAGCUCUGUUGUAAGAGAAAAACGGGUAUCAUAGGGAAUGAUGAUAUCGUGAUGGUAUCUUACCAGAACGCCACGGCUAACUCCGUGCCCGCAGCCGCGGUAAUACGUAGGUGGCAGGCGUUAUCCGGUUUGAUUGGGCGUAAAGGGUGCGUAGGCGGCAAAAUAAGUCUGAAGUAAAAGGCGUUGGCUCAACCAACGUAAGCUUUGGAAACUGUUAAGCUAGCGUGCAGGAGAGGUAAGUGGAAUUCCAGGUGUAGCGGUAAAAUGCGUAGAUAUAAGGAAGAACACCAGUGGCGAAGGCGGCUAACUAACCUGUAACGGACGCUGAGGCACGAAAGCGUGGGGAGCAAAUAGGAUUAGAUACCCCUGUAGUC